GAGUUUGAUCCUGGCUCAGAACGAACGCUGGCGGCGUGCUUAACACAUGCAAGUCGAACGUGAUCCGGAGCUUGCUCCGGUGAAAGUGGCGCACGGGUGAGUAACGCGUGGAUAACCUGCCCUGGUAUCUGGGAUAACAUCUCGAAAGGGGUGCUAAUACCGGAUAAGCCCACGGAUUCCUAGGAGUCUGUGGGAAAAGGUGGCCUCUAUUUAUAAGCUUCCGUAUCAGGAUGGGUCCGCGUACCAUUAGCUAGUUGGUGGGGUAAUGGCCUACCAAGGCUACGAUGGUUAGCUGGUCUGAGAGGAUGAUCAGCCACACUGGAACUGAGACACGGUCCAGACUCCUACGGGAGGCAGCAGUGGGGAAUUUUGCGCAAUGGGGGAAACCCUGACGCAGCAACGCCGCGUGAGUGAUGAAGGCUUUCGGGUCGUAAAGCUCUGUCAGAGGGGAAGAAAUGGGUCGUGCUAAUAUCGCGACUUCUUGACGGUACCCUCAAAGGAAGCACCGGCUAACUCCGUGCCAGCAGCCGCGGUAAUAC
rnacentral:rRNA from 1 species